rnacentral:pre_miRNA from 1 species
AUAUUACUCCCUCCGUUCGGAAUUACUUGUCGCAGAAAUGGAUGUAUCUAGACGUAUUUUAGUUCUAGAUACAUCCAUUUUCGCGACAAGUAAUUCCGAACGGAGGGAGUAGAUG